GGCCCCGGAGCCGUGCGUUGAGUUGGACGCGGAGUUUGACUUUGCGAGCGCCAACGCUCGGCUGGACCGUGCGGCGCUGGAUAGGGAGUUCCGGGGCAGGGAGGCCAAGCGGAGAGAAGCGGACAAGCUGAGGGGUCCCCGCACGAGCUCCCCCGUCUUCCUGGACGGCUGCUUCUACGACAAAACCAGGAGCUUCUUUGACAACAUUUCCAGGAACUGCCGCGUGACGUUGGCGGAGCAGUGGCGCCUGAACGUGGCGACGUUCGGGG